rnacentral:misc_RNA from 1 species
AAAACCCAAAAACACUUUCUCUCUCUUCACUGUUCGGAGGCCGCAAUCUCUCUCGUCUCCUCCGACCCACCUGCCGAUUACCGGUGAAGAAUUGAAGGGUUUCUUCUGUUUGAUUAGAUGGGGAAGGGUUCGAAGAAUGGUGCGCUCUUCAAAGACAAGGCGAAAAAUCGCGUUGAUGAUCUGCAGGGUAUGUUCAUGAACCUGCAAUCUGCAAGGAAAGAAAGUCGAACUCAUGAUGCUGGGUUGCUUGAAGAGCAGGUCCACCAGAUGCUUCGUGAGUGGAAAGCUGAGCUCAAUGAGCCUUCCCCUGCCUCUUCUUUGCAGGGAGGAAGCCGUAUCUCAUCAGACCUCUAUAGGCUGCUGCAUGGUGAGGAGGAAGAUGAUGCUACCAGUGCAUUAGCUGCUCCUAAGCCUGAGCCUGAUGCUCAAAAACAAGAUGUUGCUGGUUUCCAGGAGGAUUUCAAUGCAACCCCGGUGAUGCAGGAACAAGGUUACCAGCUGGAUGAUGAAUGCAAAAAUACACCUUUAGCCGUCAACAAUGCAGGGAUUAACAAUGAAGGCGUUGCAACACAAUUAGAUUACCAUUCUUUUGAUCUGCAGCAAGAUUUCGAUCAGUUUGGAUUUGAUGCUUUAAAUCUCUGCCUAGAGGAGAAUUUGUCUCCUAUUCAGAUUAGCCCUCCACCCUCUGCUUUCCUGGGACCUAAAUGUGCACUUUGGGAUUGUCCUCGACCUGCGAUGGGGUCAGAUUGGUGCCAGAAGUCUCAUGACUACUGCAGUGACUAUCAUGCUGCUCUUGCGCCUAAUGAAGGCUAUCUUGGAAGACCUCCAGUUGUUCGACCAAUGGGUGUUGGCUUAAAGGAUAGUUUACUUUUCCAAGCACUAAGUGCUAAAGCACACGGGAAAGAUGUUGGGGUUCCAGAAUGUAGGGGCGCUGCCACUGCAAAGUCCCCCUGGAAUGCACCAGAGCUCUUUGACCUUGAAGUUGUUGAGGGUGAAACAAUCAGGGAAUGGCUUUUCUUUGAUAAGCCUCGAAGAGCAUUUGAAAGUGGAAACAGAAAGCAGAGGUCACUGCCUGAUUAUAACGGGCGGGGUUGGCAUGAGUCUAGGAAGCAAGUGAUAAAUGAUUAUGGAGGGCUGAAGAGAUCCUACUAUAUGGAUCCACAGCCGAUGAAAAAUCUGGAAUGGCAUUUGUAUGAAUAUGAGAUCAACAAGUAUGAUGCA